rnacentral:lncRNA from 1 species
UACACUUUUGUGUUUGGAAUCAAACUUGUUUAAGUUCUCUUUAGUGCUCAAAAUAAAACAAGAAGAACCAAAAUGAUGAAAAUAUGAAAUGUUGGGUUUUCUGUUUUUCCAUAGUUCACAAGGAGUCUUACCUAGAAAAUAUAUUAUAAAGAUUAUAUUCUGAAUGUAACAUAUUAUGUUGACUACUUCUACCCAUAAUUA